CACCUCAGCGCACUUCAAAGCUGUGAGUAGACGGAAAAAGUUACAGCAGACGCAUGUCGCGCAGCCAUAGCGUGGUAUGACCGUCAAAUUUUGAAACGAUUCAAGCUCCUGUCUAACCGUUAAAUUUUGAAACGAUUCGAGCUCCAGUCUAAAAUCCAUUAACAACAUAUUAGCUGGCAAGACUCAACAUAUUAGCUGGCA
rnacentral:lncRNA from 1 species